rnacentral:rRNA from 1 species
GAUGAACGCUAGCGGCAGGCUUAACACAUGCAAGUCGAGGGGCAGCACGGUAGCAAUACUGGUGGCGACCGGCAAACGGGUGCGGAACACGUACAGAAUCUACCUUGAUCUGGGGCAUAGCCCGGAGAAAUCCGGAUUAACUCCCCAUAAUAUACAUGAAAGGCAUCUUUUGAGUAUUAAAAAUUUAUUGGAUUGAGAUGACUGUGCGUCCCAUUAGCUAGUUGGUAGGGUAACGGCCUACCAAGGCGACGAUGGGUAGCUGGUGUGAGAGCACGACCAGCCACACGGGCACUGAGACACGGGCCCGACUCCUACGGGAGGCAGCAGUGAGGAAUAUUGGUCAAUGGACGCAAGUCUGAACCAGCCAUGCCGCGUGAAGGAUGAAGGCCUUCUGGGUUGUAAACUUCUUUUACCUGGGAAGAAACCACUUUUUUCUAAGAGUGUUGACGGUACCAGAGGAAUAAGCACCGGCUAACUCCGUGCCAGCAGCCGCGGUAAUACGGAGGGUGCAAGCGUUAUCCGGAUUUACUGGGUUUAAAGGGUGUGUAGGCGGGCUUUUAAGUCAGUGGUGAAAUCUCCGGGCUCAACCCGGAAACUGCCAUUGAUACUAUUAGUCUUGAAUUUUGUUGAGGUAGGCGGAAUAAGUCAUGUAGCGGUGAAAUGCAUAGAUAUGACUUAGAACACCAAUUGCGAAGGCAGCUUGCUAAACAAAUAUUGACGCUGAGGCACGAAAGCGUGGGGAUCAAACAGGAUUAGAUACCCUGGUAGUCCACGCCCUAAACGAUGAUUACUCGACAUACGCGAUACACAGUGUGUGUCUGAGCGAAAGCAUUAAGUAAUCCACCUGGGAAGUACGACCGCAAGGUUG